GUUGUAUGGUUAAGUGACUAAGCGUACACGGUGGAUGCCUUGGCAGUCAGAGGCGAUGAAGGACGUAGUAACUUGCGAUAAGCGUAGAUGAGGCAGUAACAGCCACUUGAGUCUACGAUUUCCGAAUGGGGAAACCCACUGGCAUAAGCCAGUAUCAUUGAGUGAAUACAUAGCUCAAUGAAGCGAACCGGGAGAACUGAAACAUCUAAGUACCCCGAGGAAAAGAAAUCAACCGAGAUUCCGAAAGUAGCGGCGAGCGAAAUUGGAUUAGCCCUUAAGCUUUACAUGUGUUAGACGAACGGUCUGGAAAGUCCGACGAUACAGGGUGAUAGUCCCGUAGUUGUAGAUGCAUGUUCAGUGAAAUCGAGUAGGGCGGGACACGUGUUAUCCUGUCUGAAUAUGGGGGGACCAUCCUCCAAGGCUAAAUACUCCUGACUGACCGAUAGUGAACCAGUACCGUGAGGGAAAGGCGAAAAGAACCCCUGUGAGGGGAGUGAAAUAGAACCUGAAACCGUGUACGUACAAGCAGUAGGAGCACCUUCGUGGUGUGACUGCGUACCUUUUGUAUAAUGGGUCAGCGACUUAUAUUCAGUGGCAAGGUUAACCAUCUAGGGGAGCCGUAGGG
rnacentral:rRNA from 1 species